GACGAAGGUGACGACCGUUGCUCGGAAUCACUGGGCAUAAAGCGCGCGUAGGUGGCGGGGUAAGUCCAUGGUGAAAUCCUUCGGCUCAACCGAAGAAGUGCCGUGGAUACUGCCUUGCUUGAGGACGGGAGGGGUGAGUGGAACUCUCGGUGUAGCGGUGAAAUGCGUAGAUAUCGAGAGGAACGCCGGUGGCGAAAGCGACUCACUGGACCGUAUCUGACACUGAGGCGCGAAAGCUAGGGGAGCAAACAGG
rnacentral:rRNA from 1 species